AUUGAACGCUGGCGGCAGGCCUAACACAUGCAAGUCGAACGAGUGGCGGACGGGUGAGUAAUGUCUGGGAAACUGCCCGCUGGAGGGGGAUAACUACUGGAAACGGUAGCUAAUACCGCCUACCAUCGGAUGUGCCUAGAUGGGAUUAGCUAGUAGGUGGGGUAACGGCUCACCUGGGCGACGAUCCCUAGCUGGUCUGAGAGGAUGACCGGCCCAACGGGAACUGAGACACGGUCCAAACUCCUAGGGGAGGCAGCAGUGGGGAAUAUUGCACAAUGGGCGCAAGCCUGAUGCAGCCAUGCGGCGUGUAUGAGGAGGGCCUUCGGGUUGUAAGGUACUUUCAGCGAGGAGGCGUUACUCGCAGAAGAAGCACCGGCUAACUACGUGCCAGCAGCCGCGGUAAUUC
rnacentral:rRNA from 1 species